rnacentral:rRNA from 1 species
AUUGAACGCUGGCGGCAGGCCUAACACAUGCAAGUCGCACGAGUGGCGGACGGGUGAAUAAUGUCUGGGAAACUGACUGAUGGAGGGGGCUAACUCCUGGAAACGGUAGCUAAUACCGCAUACCUUCCGAUGUGCCCAGAUGGGCUUAGAUGGUUGGUGGGGUAACGGCUCACCAAGGCGACGAUCCCUAGCUGGUCUGCGAGGAUGACCGGCCACACUGGGACAGAGACACGGUCCAGGCGCCUACGGGAGGAAGCAGUGGGGAAUAUUGCGCAAUGGGCGCAAGCCUGAGGCAGCCAUGACGCGUGAAUGAAGAAGGCGUUCGGGUUGUAAAGUUCUUUCGGUAGGGAGGCGGUACCCACAGAAGAAGAACCGGCUAACUCCGUGCCAGCAGCCGCGGUAAUAC